CCUACGGGUGGCAGCAGUGAGGAAUAUUGGUCAAUGGACGAGAGUCUGAACCAGCCAAGUAGCGUGAAGGAUGAAUGCCCUCUGGGUUGUAAACUUUUUUUAUAAAGGAAUAAAACGAGGCACGUGUGCCUUUUUGCAUGUACUUUAUGAAUAAGGAUCGGCUAACUCCGUGCCAGCAGCCGCGGUAAUACGGAGGAUCCGAGCGUUAUCCGGAUUUAUUGGGUUUAAAGGGAGCGUAGAUGGGUUGUUAAGUCAGUUGUGAAAGUUUGCGGCUCAACCGUAAAAUUGCAAUUGAUACUGGCAGUCUUGAGUACAGUUGAGGUAGGCGGAAUUCGUGGUGUAGCGGUGAAAUGCUUAGAUAUCACGAAGAACCCCGAUUGCGAAGGCAGCUUACUAAACUGUGACUGACGUUGAUGCUCGAAAGUGUGGGGAUCAAACAGGAUUAGAUACCCUAGUAGUC
rnacentral:rRNA from 1 species